rnacentral:rRNA from 1 species
GACGGAGGAUGCAAGCGUUAUCCGGAAUUAUUGGGCGUAAAGCGUCCGCAGGUGGACAUACAAGUCUGCUGUCAAAGUGCAGAGCUUAACUCUGUAAAGGCGGUGGAAACUGUAGGUCUUGAGUAUGGUAGGGGUAGAGGGAAUUCCCGGUGUAGCGGUGAGAUGCGUAGAUAUCGGGAAGAACACCAGUGGCGAAAGCGCUCUACUGGGCCAUAACUGACACUGAGGGACGAAAGCUAGGGGAGCGAAAGGG